rnacentral:lncRNA from 1 species
CUCAUAUUUAAAUGUAAUGGUACUUUCAAUGAGGCGAAGAAAAAAUUGGUUAAUCAAGCACAAAAAGCAUUAUACAGCUUGUACAAAAGUAUUAGAAAUCAAGCCAUCCCAUUGGAUUUACAGCUUAAAAUGUUUGAUGCCAUGGUAGAGCCUAUUCUUUUAUAUGGGUGUGAGAUUUGGGGAUACGAAAACCUGAAAAUUUUAGAACAAAUUCACUUAAAUUUUUGUAAACGUAUUCUAAGAGUAAGAUCUUCAACGCCUAACUAUAUGGUAUAUGGAGAAUUAGGCAGAUUUCCAUUAGAAAUAAAAGUCAAAAUAAGAAUGACAUCAUUUUGGAGAAGGAUAAUGCAUGGUGACAAAUUAAGUAGUAAUAUGUAUAGAUUAUUAUUAAGUUUAAUGCAAAAUAGCGGUCAAUCAUUCAAAUGGCUGAACUUUAUAGAAUCAAUAUUUAAUGAUACAGGACUAGGAUAUGUGUUUGUCAAUCAAGAUAGUGCUGACUACAAACAUCUGAUAAAACAGGUUUUACAAGACCAAUAUAUACAAAAAUGGCAUCAAGAUGUCCAAUUAUCUUCCCGAGGUGUAUUUUAUUCUAGUUAUAAAAACUGUUUUGGAUUUGAAAAUUAUUUAAUAAAAAUACCGGAAAAUGCAAGAAUCUGGAUGACAAAAUUAAGAACGUCUAAUAUAAAAAUUCCCAUUGAAACUGGGCGUUGGCACAAUAUUCCGGCGGAGGACAGAAAAUGUCACAUAUGUAAAGAAAGUGUAGGAGACGAAUUUCACUAUCUUUUUAUAUGCAAGUCUCCUCAACUGGUUACUUUUAGAGAACAACAUAUCCCUAGUUAUUAUACGAAGCAUCCAAGUAAACAGAAAUUAUCUGUAAUGUUAUCUUACUGUAAUGUCAAUUUAUAUAGACAGGUGGCAUCUUUUAUCAAAAAGCUGAAUAACCUAUUGUGAUAUGUAUAUUAAUUUGUCUUAUUUUUUUUUUUUUUUUUUAUUGUUGUUUUUUUUUUUAAAUUAUAUUGUUUUUUAUUUUGUUUUUUUUAAUGUUACCUUUGUAUUAUAAAUCAUGUUUACCAUUGUAUAUAUGUACCUCAUGUUACACAUUUAUGUGUCUGAGCGUUGCUUUACAAUAAAA